CUCACCAGGAGGACCCGGGCUCUGGCGGCACUUGAUUCCUAUGCUUCGUGACCCAGCUGUUCUGCAUUGACCUGGCCAGAAGUAGUGGGAAAGAAGAGAGUUUUCCUUCAGGAGGAACCAUUUCACCCUUACUAGUGACCCAGGCUGAAGUCAUAUGAGUAUUUCAUCAUUCAAGGAAUUUGCCAAGAAGUUGAGGAGAUGAAAUGUGCCUUCAAAAACUGAAAGGAAAAACAACAAUAACAACAAAACUAUCAAGUUCAAAGAACAUUAGAAGUUUGGAGGAGGGAAAAUGACAACCAGUGAAUGGACAAAGACAACAUAAAAAAAUACUGACAGGCUGCUGAAGGUCAGAGGCAGCCAAGAAAAGCCACUUCCUUAUACACCACCUGUCUCAAAUAUAUACCACCUGUCCCAACGCCUGAACCUGCUCAAACUUGCAAAACAAUUUACGUGCUAAUAGUUCCUGCCGACCCCAGCCAUAUAAACCCUGUUACAACCAGACUCGGUGCCACCUCUGUCAUCCCGACCAGAGAGUUCGCCUGGCAACAUACCCCAAUAAACUUUUAUUUUAUUCACCUUUA